rnacentral:rRNA from 1 species
AUUGAACGCUGGCGGCAGGCCUAACACAUGCAAGUCGAGCGAGCGGCGGACGGGUGAGUAAUGUCUGGGAAACUGCCUGAUGGAGGGGGAUAACUACUGGAAACGGUAGCUAAUACCGCAUACCAUCAGAUGUGCCCAGAUGGGAUUAGCUAGUAGGUGGGGUAACGGCUCACCUAGGCGACGAUCCCUAGCUGGUCUGCGCGGAUGACCAGCCACACUGGAACGGAGACACGUUCCAGACUCCUACGGGGGGCAGCAGUGGGGAAUAUUGGCCAAUGGGCGCAAGCCUGAUGCAGCCAUGCCGCGUGUAUGAAGAAGGCCUUCGGGUUGUAAAGUACUUUCAGCGGGGAGUCGUUACCCGCAGAAGAAGCACCGGCUAACUCCGUGCCAGCAGCCGCGGUAAAC